GGAAGGAUCAUUGCAUCGAUCAACACCGUUCCACGCGAAUCUUCGUAUCCCCGCGCUUCAUUCUAUGGCAGCCGCUYAUGACGUCGCUCUGUUCGCGGAGGGAAAGAGGCUGGCAGCCCCCUGGAGCGUGCGCCUGGCCCCGGUCGUCCUGCCGUCACGGCAGUGCGGCCGUGGACCGGCGGUGCCGGUCCGCGAGACGAGGCCUGUGAUUGUCGGGCGACCGACUGAGCUGGCCGACGACUCUUGCGGAUUCCCGGCUGGGACCGACCCCACCGAUCCACGACACUCGAAAUCUGAAGCCCAGCGCAGCCUCGAGAGAGCGCUGCCGUCUAACCAAAGACAACUCUCAACAACGGAUAUCUUGGCUCCCGUAUCGAUGAAGAACGCAGCGAAAUGCGAUACGUAGUGUGAAUUGCAGAUAAUGUGAAUCAUCGAAUCUUUGAACGCAAAUUGCGCUCGAGGYUUCGGCCAAGAGCAUGCCUGCCUCAGUGUCGGUUUCACCCUCGCCCUUCCUUUCACUCCGGUGAAAAUCAGAAGCGGCGGACCUGGCCGUCCCGGUCGUACCGAUCGGGUCGGCUGAAGCGCAGAGGCUUGAGCGGGAACCCCUUUCACGUGGGAACAACAGACCGGUAGGUGAGCCUCUCCUCUGCCGAGGAGGGAUCGCAUGCCGCUGCUGGGCCCCGGGGCCCCGCUGGACGCCGAGCAGGAGAUGACCGCGGGCGCCGUCAAAAGCGACCGAGUCACCACUCAACGAUUCGACCUGAGUUCAGGCA
rnacentral:misc_RNA from 1 species